UAAUAAAAGUGAAUUUUUUAUGGCACUUUUAAAACAAUCCAUAUCCACCUUGUGUGCAAUGUUUUUUUUUUUUAAUAAACUCAUUUUUUUUAAUAUGUUUUGUCUGAAAUAUCUUUUAUGAAUUACUUAAUUCUAAAAUA
rnacentral:misc_RNA from 1 species